rnacentral:rRNA from 1 species
CCUACGGGUGGCAGCAGUCGAGAAUCAUUCACAAUGGGGGAAACCCUGAUGGUGCGACGCCGCGUGGGGGAAUGAAGGUCUUCGGAUUGUAAACCCCUGUCAUGUGGGAGCAAAUUAAAAAGAUAGUACCACAAGAGGAAGAGACGGCUAACUCUGUGCCAGCAGCCGCGGUAAUACAGAGGUCUCAAGCGUUGUUCGGAGUCACUGGGCGUAAAGCGUGCGUAGGCUGUUUCGUAAGUCGUGUGUGAAAGGCGCGGGCUCAACCCGCGGACGGCACAUGAUACUGCGAGACUAGAGUGAUGGAGGGGGAAGCGGAAUUCGCGGUGUAGCAGUGAAAUGCGUAGAUAUCGAGAGGAACACUCGUGGCGAAGGCGGGUUCCUGGACAUUAACUGACGCUGAGGCACGAAGGCCAGGGGAGCGAAAGGGAUUAGAUACCCCAGUAGUC